GAAAGCCGAAUACCGAAAAUCGGUUCGUUCGGUUUGAUGAGGAGAGGGAGGUCGGAAGACCUCUCUUUUACUCUAC
rnacentral:ncRNA from 1 species